rnacentral:rRNA from 1 species
GUGGAUUAGAUACCCUGGUAGUCCACGCCGUAAACGAUGUCAACUAGCCGUUGGAAUCCUUGAGAUUUUAGUGGCGCAGCUAACGCAUUAAGUUGACCGCCUGGGGAGUACGGCCGCAAGGUUAAAACUCAAAUGAAUUGACGGGGGCCCGCACAAGCGGUGGAGCAUGUGGUUUAAUUCGAAGCAACGCGAAGAACCUUACCAGGCCUUGACAUGCAGAGAACUUUCCAGAGAUGGAUUGGUGCCUUCGGGAACUCUGACACAGGUGCUGCACGGCUGUCGACAACU